AAAGUCGUAACAAGGUCUCCGUAGGUGAACCUGCGGAGGGAUCAUUACCGAAUGGCCUCUUUGUGGCCUUCAAACCCCCUCAAACCUGUGGAAGCAAAACGUGCUUCGGCGCCCCGGCGCCGCCUUCAUGCAGUCGUCAGUUUGUGUCUGAACAUCGUUAGAAUUAAAACUUUCAACAAAGGAUCUCUUGGCUCUU
rnacentral:misc_RNA from 1 species